AGAUUUGCCUCUAUAAAUGUCAAUGGACGUCGAGUUGAGAGGCACCACUUUAAAUUCUUGCUGAUGAUCAAUGAGACUGUUUUCCUAUCAACGUACAAACACCAGGUGCCCAGAACUGGAAUUCUGAAUCAUCAGGUAGUUCCAUCAUUCAGUUUGCUUCUCUUGAGGAGAUGCUAUGCUGUUGCCCAAAAUGGCUGUACCACUUUAUAGUCCCAGAUGUACAAGGGAAUGUACCUUUGAGAAAAGCUUUUUUUCCUGUUUUAUUAUUUUUAUUUUUUAAUUGCCACUGAGGUUAUUGCUGGGGAAUUCAAAGGUCAACUGAAAUGUCAACUGGUGUUGCACCAGGCUACAGUUGUACCUGCUUGUGUGAGGAAAGGCAUGUCUCAAGCUCAUCAGAAGCCUGGGUUGUAAACACAUCCAUCUAUGAUUAAUUAGAACAUGGAGAAACAAAGUCAUCUUAAUAGUUCAUAAAAAAAAAAUCCACCA